AAACCAUGUGUUUGAUAAAUCAGUCAUUGUUCGCAAAAUACGAUCGUAAUAUCACAACAAAUUUCGAAAUAUAAUUGCAAGGUGGUAAUUAAUAAAUAAACAGGGACAGAAACUUGACGAUAUAAGUGUCGUGGGUGUGUGACGGUGUAGAACUGUAUUUACAAUGCGAUUAUUCCAGCAAAACUUCCGCUUUCAAUCAUAGUUAUUUCUACGUCACAAUAAUGCGACUGUUGCGACAUUUUCGCACUUAAACAAAUUGAAUGUACACAAACCGUAUUGAUUGCGAUUUGUUUUUCUGCAUUUUUACGCUAUGAGUUGAUGUUUAAUUAUAGAGUUAUUGGCCA